ACACUAUAUUCUGCACUCUGUUUAUUUUCUCUUGCACUACCUGGUGUACUCACGAAUGGUAUGAUUUGCUUGGACAGCAAGAAAAACAUAGUUUU